rnacentral:rRNA from 1 species
UGGGGAAUAUUGCGCAAUGGGCGAAAGCCUGACGCAGCAACGCCGCGUGCGGGAUGACGGCCUUCGGGUUGUAAACCGCUUUCAGCAGGGACGAAACUGACGGUACCUGCAGAAGAAGCACCGGCUAACUACGUGCCAGCAGCCGCGGUGAUACGUAGGGUGCGAGCGUUGUCCGGAAUUAUUGGGCGUAAAGAGCUCGUAGGCGGUCUGUCACGUCGGAAGUGAAAACUCGGGGCUCAACCCCGAGCCUGCUUUCGAUACGGGCAGACUUGAGGAAUGUAGGGGAGAACGGAAUUCCUGGUGGAGCGGUGGAAUGCGCAGAUAUCAGGAGGAACACCAGUGGCGAAGGCGGUUCUCUGGACAUUAACUGACGCUGAGGAGCGAAAGCGUGGGGAGCAAACAGG